rnacentral:rRNA from 1 species
CCUACGGGUGGCAGCAGUGGGGAAUAUUGCGCAAUGGGCGAAAGCCUGACGCAGCGACGCCGCGUGAGGGAUGAAGGUCUUCGGAUCGUAAACCUCUGUCAGCAGGGAAGAACGGUCACUGUGCUAAUCAGCAGUGAAUUGACGGUACCUGCAAAGGAAGCACCGGCUAACUCCGUGCCAGCAGCCGCGGUAAUACGGAGGGUGCGUGCGUUGAUCGGAAUUACUGGGCGUAAAGCGCUCGUAGGCGGUAUGUCAAGUCAAGGGUGAAGGCCCCGGGCUCAACGUUGGAACUGCCUUUGAAACUGGCAGACUGGAGUGUGUGAGAGGAGAGUGGAAUUCCAGGUGUAGGAGUGAAAUCCGUAGAUAUCUGGAGGAACAUCAGUGGCGAAGGCGACUAUCUGGCACAUAACUGACGCUGAGGAGCGAAAGCGUGGGUAGCAAACAGGAUUAGAUACCCGGGUAGUC